UCCGGUUGAUCCUGCCGGACCUGACUGCUAUCGGAUUGGUACUAAGCCAUGCGAGUCAUUGUAGCAAUACAAGGCGGACGGCUCAGUAACACGUAGUCAACCUAACUCGUGGGCGUGGAUAACCUCGGGAAACUGAGAAUAAACCACGAUAGAUCAUAGUGCCUGGAAUGGCUUAUGGUCAAAACAGUUUACUGCCAUGGGAUGGGACUGCGGCCUAUCAGCUUGUUGGUGAGGUAAUGGCCCACCAAGGCGAUUACAGGUACGGGCUCUGAGAGGAGAAGCCCGGAGAUGGGUACUGAGACACGGACCCAGGCCCUAUGGGGCGCAGCAGGCGAGAAACCUUAGCAAUGUGCGAAAGCACGACUGGGUCAGUCCGAGUGAUUCCUGAUAAAGGAGUCUUUUGCUUGUCCUAAAAGCACAGGUGAAUAAGGGGUGGGCAAGUCUGGUGUCAGCCGCCGCGGUAAUACCAGCACCUCGAGUGGUCAGGGCGUUUAUUGGGCCUAAAGCAUCCGUAGCCGGCUUUGCAAGUCUUCGGUUAAAUCCACCUGCUCAACAGAUGGGCCGCUGGAGAUACUACAAAGCUAGGGAGUGGGAGAGGCAGACGGUAUUCAGUGGGUAGGGGUAAAAUCCUCUGAUCCACUGAGGACCACCAGUGGCGAAGGCGGUCUGCCAGAACACGUUCGACGGUGAGGGAUGAAAGCUGGGGGAGCAAACCGGACUAGAUACCCGGGUAGUCCCAGCUGUAAACGAUGCAAACUCGGUGAUGCAUUGGCUUAUGGCCAAUGCAGUGCCGCAGGGAAGCCGUUAAGUUUGCCGCCUGGGAAGUACGGACGCAAGUCUGAAACUUAAAGGAAUUGGCGGGGGAGCACCACAAGGGGUGAAGCCUGCGGUUCAAUUGGACUCAACGCCGGG
rnacentral:rRNA from 1 species